UGGCUCAGUCGGUAGAGCAUGAGACUCUCGAUCUCAGGGUUGUGGGUUCAAGUUCCAC
rnacentral:tRNA from 1 species